ensembl:lncRNA LOC120102485 uncharacterized LOC120102485
CUGGGGACCAAACCCAGGGCCUUGCACUUCCUAAGCAAGCGCUCUACCACUGAGCUAAAUCCCCAACCCCCAAAACAGUUAUUUUAAACAAAAAUAAACCGGUAGUAGUCCACCCUCUUUUGAGAAAUAUUUUAAAGGUAAUUAUUAAGUGUCCAGGAUUAGAAUAUUUCUCUUGUUGCUUGCAAAUAAUUAAGGGAUUUUCACCUGUUUUCUAACCUGUCCUUGUUUAGUUUUUGAUCAUAAGUAAAGGGAAGUUGGCAGGAAAAUACCAGAACAUAUGUUCAUAUGUGUGUGUGUGUGUGUGUGUGUGUGUGUGUGUGUGUAUGUACACGCACACACGCGCAGGCGAGUGCAGGAAAGGCCCAUGGUGUCCUCUUCAGUAGGGACAGCUCAGUGCCGCAGAACAGGAUUGUAAUGGCUUCAGAGAGUGGCAGCGCUGAGCAGACACAGAUGAUGGCUUAAGGGAACAAAGCAAACAUUUAGGAACAUGGAAUAAUGGAUUUGCUUUUUACAACCUUAGCCAUGAAGAAUGCAUAAAGUACAUCUCACCUCCCCCAACCCCCAUCGUCCUGACUCUUGUCUUGUAAAGCUGUUGCUUUUGCUGGGACCCCUGGGUAGAGAGGCACUUCAGGUAGCCAAGCUUAAAUGAGACCGGUAGGGAGCUAAACCAGAGGGGUGGUGAGACAAUCUAUUCGAAGCUGUGUGUUCGAGAGAGCUGGUUUUCAGCCUCUUUCUGAAGUCCUACUUGUCUCUGUUGAGAUAGUACACACAUUAGCUGCUUUAGCUGAAUGGCCACUGUAGCAGGCCCAAGGUAAGAAGCUGUCAAAAGCAGCAGUGGCAGUCAGUGGUUUCCUUCACGUCUCCUGUCCUGUUUUGAUAUGCUUUGUGUUUCUCUCCAUAUAUCUAUUGUAUAGAAAAUGUUAGCGUUAGGGUAGGGAGCUGGCUCAGUCACCAGCGUACCUGCUUAUAGCGUGAAGCCCCGAGUUCACAUCUCCAGGCACCUAUGGGAAAAGCUAGUUGUGAGGAGAGUCUGUAACCAUAGCUCUGGGUGUUGAGGGACAGAGACAGGAGGAUCCCUGAUUGAAAAAGACACCUGAACUUUAUCAUGCAUGUGUGCACACAUGUCCUAAUAACAUAUACACACAGAGCAAUAACUUGUUUUCAGAGCUCAGUAACAUCCGUGGAGUUUUACACUCUAAGCAUUGGCUGACAGAAAAAGGAUAGGCUCUACUGCCAUCCACUUUAACGCUCAGCCGAUUGGACAGCUUGGUGAGCAUAGGCUGAAGCACGCCUUCCUUUCCCCUGCUGAGAAUUGUGGCAACCAGAUCAGGCCCAUUGCGUUCAAACAAUACUGACUCAAUAUUUGAAAUGUUAAGAAACUUCUCGUUUUACAUGAGGGAUGACCUCUGGUGCCCAAGGAAGAAAAUGAUUAGAGGGUGUAGUACAAUGACUCAAGCCCUCUGCAGUUAAUAAUUGGUGUUACAAGUUCUAAAGCGAAAACUUGGAAUUCAUACUAUGUGUUUAGUCAUCAGGUAGAGUAGAGUAAUGUAAUUGAAGGUACCUGCUCUCUGCGCGCCAUGCUCGUAGGCAGCACAGUGUCUGCCUCAGAGAUUAGGAAGAUAGGAGAUGGACAUGCAAGCCCUGGGCCAUAGGGUGGUGAUUUGAUUGUGUGUGUGUGUGUGUGUGUGUGUGUGUGUGUGUGUGUGUGUGUGUGUGCACGAGAGUGUACACCCGCACAGUGUGCAGUAGCAGCUACAGUUUCUCAUCUCUUUGCUGACAUGUUUUUUAAAUAGUAACCAUUUCCAGAAGGUGGGAAUCAGUAGUCUUGUAUGGUUUGCUUUGAGACAUGGUCUUACUGUGUAAACUAGGCUGGCCUGGACCUCACGGAGCUCAGCUUAUCCCUGCCUCCUGUGCUGGCACUGAAGGUGUGCUCCCCCACCAAGCUCCCACUGUGCUUUUGGUUUGCAUUUUCUUGAAAACCAGUAAUGUCAAAAGUCUUUUCAUGUGCAUCACAGUUAUAUCAAUAUGUCAUCUUUGGAGAAAUGCCCAUGUUAGAGAUCAGAUUGUUUUGCUGAGUAGCUACAGGCACCCCUUCUGUGCUCUUUGUGACUGGCAGCUGUCUCACCCAAGCCCGUGUCUCACCCACAGUCCCGCCUCCUGUGCCACGCACAGAUCCCACUUGUCCAGUUUUGCUGUUAUUGGCUGUGCAUUUGCUGUCCAAUUCGAGAAACCACAGCCUAGACACAGUGAUGUAGUGCUGUCCCUGUAUACUCUCCAAGUAAUUUCAUACGUGCAGGGCAUAACUUUAAAUAGAAUUAGACUGUAUGUUUUGCUCAAUGAGUAUGAGUGUACACUGGGCAGCACACAUGUGAUACAGUACCUAUGUGGAGGUCAGAAGACAACUCACAGGAUUGGUUCCUUCUGGCUGAACAUGGAAUGACAAUUGACAGGCUUGGUGGCAAACACUCUUCCCCACUAAGCCACCUCAGCCACCCCUGUGUUGAGCUAUUUUGUAGGGUGUUUGAUAGAUUGACUUUAACAUUUUCCACCCUCCUUGGCACCAUUUAUUGAGGAGCCCAUCUUUUGGACAUCUAGGUAUCUUUGCUAAGAUCACUUGACUGUUCCACUAGUUAGGUCUGUUUUGGUGGCGUUACCAUACUGCUUUGAUCAUUAUAGCUUCGCAGCGUAUUUAAAAGUCAGGAAACAUUGUGCCUUCCUUGUUUUUUUCCAAGACUGUUUGGGCUGUUGCAGAGUCUCUAUUGUUCCAUGGGAACCUGAGGAUGUGUUUUGCUAAAAGUUGUCAUCAGAGUUUCUGUCUGCUAUUAAAGCCUGCUAUUUACCCUGUGAGUGACCACUCAUGUCCUAGUUCACUGGUUUUUCCACUCUGCCAGUUUGAGAGCAGGAAGGACAGAGUUCUGCCCUCAUGCUCUGACAACGAAGGUUUUAUGACGUGCUUUCGAACCUGGAGCAACUGACUUUCUCCUCUGACAAUAGUUCCUCCCUCAAAAGUUCCCUGUGGUCCCCAACUCUGUGUACUCUUCCUCAACUCCAAAAUAAACUGCCCUCUUUGCUGUGGCCAGGAGGCCUCAGCCAGUUCCCUAGGACAAGCAAACGCUGCUGGCCACAAGGUUAGUAGCCGUGCUGUUUUUACUGGCAGAGAUGCAGGGAUGGUUAUGAUUGUUGUUAUGUUUUUGUUUUGUUUUUAGACUGGAUCUUAGGGACCUCAGGCUAUCAAAUGCACCAUGUAGCCAAGGAUUACCUUAAACCUUUGAUCCUCCUGUCCCCAUAUCCCAAGAACUGGAUUACAGGCUCCUGGCACCAGGCCUCACCUUAUGUACUGGGAAUUGAACCCUUGGCGAGCGUUCUGCCUGUGGAGCUACGUCCCCAGCGCCUGGUGCAGUUUUAAUGUUAAAUGUGUUAAUGAACUAUGUUUGCCAAGAAAACAGUUUCCUAUUUGAUUCCCUGCCCCAUAAACCAUUCUGUGUCCCGUUAAAAGUAAAAAAGCCCCAACAUCGAAGGUACUCCUCCCUUCUGGGGGCUGUCUUGCAGAAUGCUCCUGCCCCAGCUCAGGAAACAGCCAGGACAACUGGGACAGGAAGAAUGCGUAGCAACGUCAGAGAAGUCCCAGCGUGCUGUCGCCACUUGUACCAGUGCCACACUUGAAGGGCAGACAGCACUGUGUUCUCCCGAGAGAAUCUUUCUCACAAGCAGAUUGACCAUAUUAGUACAUAACUGAAUCAUCCUUUUAUUUUUUUCAAACCACAGUGUAUGUCCCAGACCAUGUCAAAUGUGCUGGUUUCAGAUGAGUUCUUCAUAGAAAAGAAGAGCUCAGACUGUUAAAGAGAACUAACCUUAAAAUACCAAAAAAAAAAAAAAAAAAUCCAUUUAGCGAAGGAUAGUAAGUCAUCUCCUGCCUCUUCUGUGAAUUGAUAGUCACAUGUAAACAGGCUUGUUCAAGGAAGAUUUUGACACUGCUCUGUCUGAACUAUAUGUCCUAAAAGGAAAAUUGCUUCAUUUACUAUUUACCAUCCAGCCAUGGCACCCCUCCUGGUCCCCCUUCUACAGUCCCUCAACCUGUUUCUCCUCUCCUGUCUGUUUUUUGUUUGUUUGUUUGUUUGUUUGUGUUUAAGCUUUACCAUGUCUUCUUAGCAUCUCACAGAGCAUAGAUGCAGCAGACUGCAUGACUGACUAAUGACUUCCGAGAUGCCUUCAGGAUCCGUGCUUAGCACAGUGUAAACACAUCUUGGCUUGUGACUUCCUUCCAAGAUACGAAGGAUGACAUAGCCCCGAUGAAAAUGAGAUCUACAUGUGACCCACCCGCUUCGUUCCCAGCAUGAUUUCCAACCUUCCUAACAGACCACGUUCUUUCCCAGAAAGGAUAGGGUUUUAGGCAUAGAUGAGUACACAGCACACAUGUGAGUUACAUAAGCAGGCUGAACUCUAGCCUUUCUGUUCGUUUUAUUUCAUUCUUCUAAAAGUGCUGCUUACAGCAGGAAUAGGUUACCUCAUGGCUUCAAGAACUCAACAUCAGACCACAGAGUAGCUUCACAGGGACCCAAAGGAGCAGAACUUGUAGUGAGAAAAAACCAAAACAACAACAACAAAAUCCCUAAGAACUGGGUAUCUGCCAUCCAACACACAUGGUUUUAAAACAAUUUUUAAAUUUAAAUGUAUUUUUAUAUUUCUUUCUUUCCCCAUCCCUACCCACCCAUCUUUAAGUUCUUUCUCAAAAAACAAAUAAUCUAAUACAACAAAACCCCCCAAAAACCAAGAAAAAAAGCACCACCCACAAAAGACAGGGCAAAAGAAACAAACAAAAAACCCCACUAAACUGUAACCGCAUUAAAAGUGUGUGUGUGUGUGUGUGUGUGUGUGUGUGUGUGUGUGUGUGUGCGUGCGUGCAUACAUACACAUACACAGAGAGAGAGUCCAUUAUAUGUUGGUCAGCUAAUCACACUUGUUUUAAAUGUCACAGUUAAUUUUGUAAAGUUAAAGUUCCUGUGAUCAUUUUAAAGGUCUCUAAUAUUAAUUCAGUGGUUCUCUACCUUUAAACCCUGCAAUCCUUUUAUAUAGUUCCUUACGUUGUAAUGAGCCCCAACUAUAAAAUUAUUUUUGUUGCUAUUUAAUAACUGUAAUUUUGCUACUGUUAUAAAUCAUUAAUAUUGAAAGGGUCAUUCGAUGCCCAAAGGGGUCAUGACCAACAGGUUGAGAACCACACUGCUCUAGUUCGGUUCACUUGGGCAAAACUGUAACAUUAAAAUGGCUAAGACUGUUGAGAUGAGGUCCAUUAAUCAUUUUAUCAGUAAAUUAGAAUUAGCUAUGCUAAUAGGUUUUUUUUUGUGUGCUAAGGUUUUUCAGAUUCUAGUUCCAAACUCUCCCCUAGAGGCCUUUUAUUAUGGAGGACACAGGUCUAAAGAGCCAGCUGCCCUGCUGGGCUGCCUUAGCUCUGGCCUGUGCCUUAUCACCAGCCCCAGGCCUGUGGGAAGUUCACUGCUGUGCUUGCUCGGACAGCACCAGGCAGGCCAGGCACACCAUGACACCAUUCUGAUCCCUGUCCCUGUGUUCUCACUGUCUGAUUCACCAGCCAGACCAAAAACCACUUCCCAGGCAGAUUGACAGCCAACUUCUUACCAGGUUCACCACACAGAAGCCUGCACACAUUUGAUCACACAUGGCUACUCGCACACCGUCUGCCUCUGGUCAGCCUUCCACACAGUCUUGUCCUCCAGGCCCAGGGUGUAUAUGUCAACCCAACACCUUCCUACUGAAGUGGGAGGGAUUUAAUCACUGCUCCCCUUUCUUCUUGAUGACCUUUCAAGCCAUCGUCUUUAUUGAUUCCAUGUAUGUGAGAGAGGCAUACAUACUCUAUCUGCAUUUUAAGUCUCUUUCUCUUUUCCUAAGACCACGUGCUUUCUUCCCUGCACAUUCAACUUGGAGUACUAGUUGCAGCCAGAACCUUGGUCCAGUCGUCAGUGACACCAAGGCAGAGACACACAGUGUGCCUCUUACGUCUGCACACAGACAGAAUGAAAGGUAUUGUCAGCUGUUGCUCCGUGGUGGCCAGCAUUGCUCCAUGGAUGCACACCUGCUCUUCACAACUGUUCACACGGCAUUACGCAGAAGUCAUGAGUGAAGUCAGAUCAGAAUGAGGAUACCUGACAGUUCCUGAGGGAAGAUGAAUUCUGGUCCUAAGCCAAUGCAAUACCAAUCUUAAAAAUGGUGACUAAUCUCUUCCGGAGCCUAAUUUAUGAGGUAAAGUUUAACUUAAGCAUAUAUGCACAGGAGAAAGUAUAAUGUACAGUGGGUUCUGCUCUAGGCGAGGUUUCAGGUGUCUCCUGAGGGUCUCAGAAUGUGUCGCAUGACUAAGACUUUUUAAAUGCUGUUAACUGUGCCAGAAUGUUUCCUCAUUAUUUUUAAGAGAAAACUAAAUUCAGAAUCAUAGGAAAAUAUACACUUGCUGAAAAUAAUGAUUAAGCCUAAGUUUGGAAAUCCUCGAUAGUUUCAAUACCCAUGUAUAUUUCUGAUACCGGAACAUAAAGUUCCCUAGUGAUCUUAUUUGUAAGUAGUAUGUCUAUUCUAAAGGAUGGUUGAUUAUGGAGCCCUAGUGGUUCCCAGAUCCAAGCUGGUUGCUCUGGGGGGCCUUCAGCAUCCAUCUCCCUCACUCUGGGCAUUUGUCCUCAUAAACUUUAAAUACGGCAGUUUUGCCAGGUGAGACAUCUUUUUAAAGACCAGAAAAUGGCAUCCACAAGGCAAGAAAGGACUUUCCUUGUUUCCACCUUGGCAGAAGUUUAGAAAUAACCGACUCUUAGAGAUGGCGUUUCGAUCUUUGCCCUCUAUGCUGACAUGGUAUUAAGAUAUUUUGGUUAAUGAUUACCUAACAUUAAAUUCCCUUUUCAGAUACAUGUGCAUGAGCUUGCUGCUUGCAACAUGCAAGUCUUACACUACAGAGGCAUAUCCUACCUAUCUGGGCUCCUCUUCUGACCUCUGACCUGUACCUGCAUGGUACACAUAAACUCAGGCAGGCACAUAACGUAAAAUUUUUUUUAAAGAACUGUAGGAAGAUGGUAUCAUUUUAAACAUGUGUCUGGGUAUUUUUAUCUCAAUUUAAAGACUGUUUAUGUUCACAGGGUGCUGGAAGUGGUUAGGUACUCAGUCAGACCAGUGUGUAGGGAAUACACUCACUUGUAUGCCUGUUGCCCGAGUCCGGUCGCUGGGUUGGUGAGACCAUGUAGAUCUCAUUACAUACAGUUCUUGAUUUAAAGCCUGUAGCACAGUGCAUCUGCCCAGCUCCUGUGGCUUUCCCUCAGGCCUGUGCAUCCUGUGCAGCGUUGUCUUUUGUUUCCCAGGCACACUAUCUCCUAAUGCAGUGGUUCUCAACCUAUGGGUUGCAGCCCCUUAGAGUGUCAAACAACCCUUUGACAUAGAUCAUCCAAGACCACCAGAAAACACAGAUAUUUAUGAUUUAUAAUAGCAAAACUGUAACUAUAAAUAGCAACAAAAACUAUUUUACGGUUGGGAGGCACCAGGACAUGAGGACCAGUAUUAAAGGGUUGCAGUGGUAGGAAGGCUGACAACCACUGCUCUAACAUAAUGUUUGGAUUCAGUCUCAAAUAGUGCUCCUCCCUCCCACAUUUCGUCAGCUUGGAGUUUACCCCUUUUGGCAUGGGGGAGGGAGGACAGGCACAGGCUACCCAACCUGGCUCUCCUUUUACAGACAUUAACAACUGCUCUGCCUGGAGUUGUCCUGCUGUCUGGAGUCAGGAGAAUUCACUGAAUGACAAAUGGGGAGAUGGAUGUGUCUGCAGUCAGCAGCGUUGGUUCCAUAGACAGGAAAAAUGUCCCUCGAAUGACAAAGUGCAGGAUAAUGACCCAGUUUGCUUGGGGGAGGCGCACACUCCUGGGCCCCACAGAGGGAUCCGAGCAUGGGUGGUUCAGACACAUUGAAACAUUCGUUUAUAAAGGAACAGUUACAGUUAGCUGUCCAGCUCUUCUUAGUUUUUCUUCUCUUAUUGGUCACCAGGGAAAUAAAAAGUUAACCUUUCCUUUUUUAUAACUUUACACUCUUGGGUAGAGUUUGCCACUUCAAUGGAAUCCCAAACCAUGGCCCUAUCCUCUUAGCCUAAGAGCGUGCGUACCUUGCCUGUACCUACAUCUGACUCCCGGCAGUCACAGAGAGAGCGAGCUCUGGCAUUGGUGUGGGAUUCGUUGGUAAAUUGCUGGUGUCGACAUCAUAAUUCUUUUUCGCCUGGUGGAGGAGCCAGCUCUCCUGUGGUUGGCUGUGGUUUCCUCUGGGCUGGGGAGAGUGCCGCGGAACAACGAACCCUGUCUAGUUUUGACUCUCCCCAGGUGUAAUGCAUCCUGCGGCUCUCCCGAGAUGGGCUGUGAGAGGCUUACCCGAAGGUUGGCAAAUCAGACUUCCACACGCCUCAGCAUCCUGUAGCCAAUGGCUUGCUCAGCCGACGUAUAUUACCCUGCGUGGUUUCAUUCAUCAAGGGGAUCCCCAGCUUCAACAGAACACAGCCAUGACCUUCCCUGCCUCCUCCAGAAAAGCAAGUGCGCACAUCUUGCCCUAAGAAGAACUCAGGGUGCCCUGGCAGGUGUGGACAGUCGGCGACCUCCAUGGAAAUCCUGAAGAUCUCCUUUCUAUUCCUCAUCUGCCUUCUGCCACAGCCACUGGUCAGCAAGUGACCAAUUAAAAGAACAAGCCUGUCCUGUCGUUCAGGAACAAGUGACAGAGGUCUAAGGUGUGUGAGGGAGAAGACAAGGCAGCAGAGAGAGACAGGUGCUGGCUGGACGCGGUGACAAACACGCCUGACUCAGUGAAGUUGAAGGUGAGUGCCAGUGCCGUCUCCCAAGCCUUGCUGGAUGGCUGCUCUUUAGUUAAGGGGAAACAAGGAAAAGUCAAUGUGUGUUAUUUUCAGGUUGAAACAGGUUAAAUACAGAGAAGAAAUAACUUGUAAAUGAACAUAAAAAGAAUAAUAGUGUGUGUGUGUGUGUGUGUGUGUGUGUGUGUGUGUGUGUGUCUAUGUGUGUCUGUGAUGGUGUGUGUGUGGUUGUGUGAAUAUGUGUGUCUGUGAUGGUGUGUCUGUGUGUGUGUGUCUGUCUGUCUGUCUGUCUGUGGGUGAGUGUAUGAAUGUGUGUAUUAAGCUGUGAUGUAGUCUCAUUUCAAACCUGGCUCAGGAUUCCACGAUGCCCAUUGGAAUCACACUCUGGCCUGCAUCAGGAAGCUAAGCUAGGCCCUGCUCCCUGUGCACUCAAGUGUUUGUUUUUUGGCUGCAUCUUCUGUAAGCACUGAGGAACCGACUUGGCCAGGCAUGUUCUGUGAACAAAUGUGUUGUCUCAUGACUGUUUUCAGUGGUCAGAUGUGUGCCCUGGUUCUGCUUUCCCUCCAACAUAGAGAAGCCUAGGAAUGUUGAGGUUCGUUUUCCUUUAGAAAUAGGUGGGAAUUUUUGUAUGUGCCUUUACAAUGUACGCAUCUACCCUACAAAACUCUCUGGGUUGUCACAAUUUUAAGCCUGGACCAUGAAUUCUGAACAUGGAGUACAGCCACUCCAGAGCUCUGCAGAGACCAUUCUAAGUAGAAAGGAAAAGCUUCUUUGCCCUUAGAACUCCUUCCGGGCCAUGACAGGAUUAGUCACCUAAGAUGAGAAAGAAUGAUAAAGGUUUCCCAGGAGUGAGUCAUGUCCUUGGCAGCCUGGAGUGUGCACUGACACACGAACCCACCGCCACUUCCCACCUCGAGUGUGCACUCCCCCCCACCCACAGACACUUGCCACCUGGAGUUUUUGCGUGGUUGAUUUAAUGUCCCAUCCAGGUUCAAGUUUUUAUGACAGGAAGUGUGUGUGAAUGUAAGGAGUAAAUAGUACUUGAUCUUGUACUAAAUAGUGCAACCUAUAAUAGCAAACCUUUGGCUGGGGGAAAAGUUCUGGCUUACAAACGUUAACGUGAGUCUGUUUUACAGAGUCUUACAUAUAGUUGUUAAUGUGUCUUAAAUGAAACUAAAACCAGAAUGAUCUGUUCAACUUUCUUUUCCAUCUUUCUUGUUAGUACCUUUGGUUUAGGACCCAUGGUACAGAACCAUUACAAUGUGGUGAGGGAGGAGAGGGAGAUGAACGUGCUGGGUGAGCGGGUCGUUAAUUACCACGUAGCUGUGGUGCUUCUAUGUGGAACAUUCUAGGCCAACUACAUGUGUCUGUGGCAUUGAAAUAAGGGGUGGCUUCUUGUUCGAGGAUAGAAAGCUCACCAAGGCUAAGGAGACUCCCAAGUGCCACCGUAGACAACCUGGUUGACAGGCACCAGAGAAAGGCACCUUGAUGGGAGCCAGGCGAGCAAGUUCAAAGAGAUAUGAACCACGUGAAGCUUGAGAAAAAGAAACAUAUAAGAAAAGAAGGGUUCGGGGCUGGGGAUUUAGCUCAGUGG